rnacentral:rRNA from 1 species
UAGGGAAUCUUCCACAAUGGACGAAAGUCUGAUGGAGCAACGCCGCGUGUGUGAUGAAGGGUUUCGGCUCGUAAAACACUGUUGUAAGAGAAGAAUGACAUUGAGAGUAACUGUUCAAUGUGUGACGGUAUCUUACCAGAAAGGACGGCUAAAUACGUGCCAG